rnacentral:misc_RNA from 1 species
UCCGUUUUGUCACCGGCAGUCUGGCGUGAGUCCCCACCAUCACGUGCUGGCAACAUAGGACGAGGGUUGCGCUCGUUGCGGGACUUAACCCAACAUCUCACGACACGAGCUGACGACAACCAUGCACCACCUGUGCACGACCCUUACGGACCCCACAUCUCUGCGGGAUUUCCGUGCAUGUCAAGCCUAGGUAAGGUUCUUCGCGUUGCAUCGAAUUAAGCAACAUGCUCCGCCGCUUGUGCGGGCCCCCGUCAAUUCUUUUGAGUUUUAGCCUUGCGGCCGUACUCCCCAGGCGGGGCACUUAAUGCGUUAGCUUCGGCACGGAGAACGUGGAAUGUCCCCCACACCUAGUGCCCACCGUUUACGGCGUGGACUAC